UACAGAGGUCUCAAGCGUUGUUCGGAUUCAUUGGGCGUAAAGGGUGCGUAGGUGGCGCCAUAAGUCGGGUGUGAAAUCUCGGGGCUUAACUCCGAAACUGCAUUCGAUACUGUGGUGCUUGAGGACUGGAGAGGAGACUGGAAUUCAUGGUGUAGCAGUGAAAUGCGUAGAGAUCAUGAGGAAGACCAGUGGCGAAGGCGGGUCUCUGGACAGUUCCUGACACUGAGGCACGAAAGCGUGGGGAGCAAACAGG
rnacentral:rRNA from 1 species